rnacentral:rRNA from 1 species
GACGAACGCUGGCGGCGUGCUUAACACAUGCAAGUCGAACGGGCUGCCUGGUUUUCGGAUCGGGUGGUGAGUGGCGAACGGGUGAGUAACACGUGAGUAACCUGCCCCUCUCUUUGGGAUAACGUCGGGAAAUCGGCGCUAAUACCGGGUAUUCUGGCUUCCUCGCAUGGGGUUGUUGGGAAAGGUUUUUUCUGGUGGGGGAUGGGCUCGCGGCCUAUCAGCUUGUUGGUGGGGUGAUGGCCUACCAAGGCGGUGACGGGUAGCCGGCCUGAGGGGGUGUCGGGCAAAAUGGGGACGGGGACACGGCCAAGACCCCAACGGAGGGAGGAAGUGGGGAUAAUUGAACAAGGGGCGAAGGCUGAAGGCGGGGAGGCGGCGUGGGGGUUGAGGGCCUUGGGGUGGAAACCUCUUUCAGUGCAGAACAAGGCUCUUUGUGGGUUGAGGGUAUGCGCAGAAGAAGCGCCGGCUAACUACGUG